rnacentral:rRNA from 1 species
GAUGAACGCUGGCGGCGUGCCUAAUACAUGCAAGUCGAGCGAACAGACGAGGAGCUUGCUCCUCUGACGUUAGCGGCGGACGGGUGAGUAACACGUGGAUAACCUACCUAUAAGACUGGGAUAACUUCGGGAAACCGGAGCUAAUACCGGAUAAUAUAUUGAACCGCAUGGUUCAAUAGUGAAAGACGGUUUUGCUGUCACUUAUAGAUGGAUCCGCGCCGCAUUAGCUAGUUGGUAAGGUAACGGCUUACCAAGGCGACGAUGCGUAGCCGACCUGAGAGGGUGAUCGGCCACACUGGAACGGAGACACGGUCCAGACUCCUACGGGAGGCAGCAGUAGGGAAUCUUCCGCAAUGGGCGAAAGCCUGACGGAGCAACGCCGCGUGAGUGAUGAAGGUCUUCGGAUCGUAAAACUCUGUUAUUAGGGAAGAACAAAUGUGUAAGUAACUAUGCACGUCUUGACGGUACCUAAGCAGAAAGCCACGGCUAACUACGU